GUGUCAGCAGCCGCGCGGUAAUACCAGCUCCCCGAGUGGUCGGGACGUUUAUUGGGCCUAAAGCGCCCGUAGCCGGCCCGGCGUGUCUCCCGUCAAAUCCGCCGGCUCAACCGGCGGACCGCGGGGGAUACUAUCGGGCUAGGGGGCGGGAGAGGUCGGGGGUACUCCCGGGGUAGGGGUAAAAUCCUCUGAUCCCGGGAAGACCACCGGUGGCGAAGGCGUCCGGCCAGAACGCGCCCGACGGUGAGGGGCGAAAGCUGGGGGAGCGAACCGGAUUAGAUACCCGGGUAGUCCCAGCUGUAAACGAUGCGGGCUAGGUGCUGGAGGGGCUACGGGCCCCUCCAGUGCCGCAGGGAAGCCGUUAAGCCCGCCGCCUGGGGAGUACGGCCGCAAGGCUGAAACUUAAAGGAAUUGGCGGGGGGGCACACAAGGGGUGAAGCCUGCGGUUCAAUUGGAGUCAACGCCCGGAACCUUACCAGGGGUGACAGCAGAAUGACGGUCAGGUUAAAGACCUUACCUGACGCGCUGAGAGGAGGUGCAUGGCCGUCGCCGGCUCGUGCCGUGAGGUGUCCUGUUAAGUCAGGAAACGAGCGAGAUCCCCACCACCAGUUGCCAUUCCGUCCCCUCUAGGGGAUGGAAGGCGAACUGGUGGGACU
rnacentral:rRNA from 2 species